GACGAACGCUGGCGGCGUGCUUAACACAUGCAAGUCGAACGGAAAGGCCCUGCUUUUGUGGGGUGCUCGAUUGGCGAACGGGCGAGUAACACGUGAGUAACCUGCCCUUGACUUUGGGAUAACUUCAGGAAACUGGGGCUCAUACCGGAUAGGAUCUCCUGCUGCAUGGUGUGGGUUGGAAAGUGUCGGCGGUUGGGGAUGGACUCGCGGCUUAUCAGCUUGUUGGUGGGGUAGUGGCUUACCAAGGCUUUGACGGGUAGCCGGCCUGAGAGGGUGACCGGCCACAUUGGGACUGAGAUAGGGACCAGACUCCUACGGGAGGCAGCAGUGGGGAGUAUUGCACAAUGGGCGGAAGCCUGAUGCAGCAACGCCGCGUGCGGGAUGACGGCCUUCGGGUUGUAAACCGCUUUCGCCUGUGACGAAGCGUGAGUGACGGUAAUGGGUAAAGAAGCACCGGCUAACUACGUG
rnacentral:rRNA from 1 species